rnacentral:rRNA from 1 species
GUCCAUGGCCAUACCACCCUGAAUGUGCCUGAUCUUGUCUGACCUCAGAAGCUAAGCAGGGUCAAGUCUAGUUAGUACUAUAGACUUCCUGGAAACAUUGGGUGCUGUAGGCU